AAGAAAUAAUGAAAGUGGGAGGGGAUACAGAAGAUGAUAGAAUAAGAUAUUUAUGGUUGGAUGAAGUGAAAUCAUUUCCAUCUCAAUUACAUUUUUCCAACCUUGUUUUCUUAUAUGCUAAUUGUAGGGAUUGGAGAGAUGAACCAUAUAUGCUCCCAAAUGAUUAUUUUAGGAAACUGUUAAAGUUGAGAGUUUUGGUUCUUAUUAGUCGACAAUAUUACUGGAGAUUUAGAGGAAAAAUUAAUUCCUCAGUUUUCCAACUAAUAUCUAUUAUUUACAGUUAGAAGCAUGGGUAAUAGGUGAUAUAACUUCUGUAGGGAGUUUAAAGAAACUUCAGAGUCUUACAUUGAGGAAUUGCUCUUUCAAUUGCUUACCAAAUGAACUAUGUGAACUGGAAAGCUUCAAAUUGUUGGAUGUACGUGGAUGUGACAUUGAAGACAAUCCUUAUAAAGUGAUGGGAAGAUUCACAAAAUUAGAGGAAUUAUAUUUUAUUCGAAAUACAGGCCCAUGGAUUGAUGAACAAGAACAUGCUUCUGAUAUUUUUGGCACAAAAGUUGAGGCCGUAAAAUUGCAGAGGUAUAGCAUAGAAAUUGGAAAAAUUUCUUUGGAGGUUGAUGUUGAUUUAGGGAGACUCGUUAGAAGUAUAGGGGUCCAACAUUUUGAUAUCUCCACAACAAAUGAAAUGAUAAAGGAUCUAGUGCAAAGGGCAGAGUGUCUUUGUUUGAAAGAAAUUCAUGGAGGGGCUAAGAAUGUCGUUCCUGAGAUAAUUCAAAGAAUAGGGGGAAUAGAAGCCGCAAAUUUGAAUAACUUAUUUUGGAUGAUUCUCAAGACUUGGAAUUCUUUGUUGACAUUGUAGAUAAAAGGAUUGUUCAUUUUCAAAAUGUCUUGUCAAAAUUGAUUCAGUUAGAAAUACGUAAGAUGUGGAGUUUGAAAGCUUUUACAAGUGGCACAUGUCUAAAAGCAUAUCAGAUGCUAAAUAUGUGCAAUCUCAAGGCAUUCACAUUAUACAACUGCCCAUUGUUGAUUCAUGUCUUUACAUUUGCCUUUGCUAAAAGUCUAGUGAUGUUAGAAGAGCUUAAGGUAAGUCGUUGUGAAGGGAUGAAGCAUAUAGUAGCAGGUGAUGAAAUGCAGCACAAUCAAGAGAUGUCUAAUUUUGUGUUCCAGAAAUUGAAACGACUCACUGUUUCUAAUUGCAAAGAAAUGGAAUACUUAACAACAACUCUACAUGUUCAAGGCUUUGCUGAAAAAUUGGAAUAUUUGAGCAUAAAUAAUGUUCCCAAGCUGAAAUAUUUGUUCCCUCAAUCUAAUGUAGAACGUCGUGGUCACAACCUUAAUGAGUUCCAGUGCAUGGAGCUUCACAAUCUAAAAGAGCUAGAUCUUCAAGGCUUGCCAAAUCUAAUCAGCAUUUUCUCAGAGAAUUAUUAUUCAAGAUGCUGUUCUUUGGUGAGCUUGACAUUGGUUGGUUGCCCAAGGUUAAAGAUGAAGUCAUUAGGCGAUCAACUUAUGGUUGUGCUACCUUAGAGGAACUAUCAUGAGAAGCCUACCGCGUUUAUGGAGAAUAAGCAUAACAGGGUGUGAUGAGUUAGAGCAAAUCAUUGAGGAAGAGGAAUCUUAUUACCAUUUGGAAACCACUGCAAAUUCUUCUGCUCAACCUCUACAUAGCUCCCAAAACAUAGGGACACCAAAUUUGUGCAGUCUCUUUAAGCUGGAUGUAAGCGAUUGUCCAAAGUUUAAAUGGUUGUUCACACUAUCCACAGCUCAAACCUUAACAUCACUACGGGAGUUGACAAUUGAGAGAUGUGAAGGGUUGCAAUAUGUUAUGAAAGAUGAGAGAGCUAAAGGCAAACAGAGCAUCGAGGAAGCAAUUGAUGAUAGGCAGGCCAUGCUUCUAGAGCUCGAACACCUAUAUUUAGAAGAUCUACCAAAUCUCAUUGAAGUAUACAAAAGGUUUCAAUUCCAAUAUGUCAGAUCUCAUGAAGUAGUGAACUGUCCAAAAUUGGUCCCACAACAACCAGCAGUCGUGAGGACAACAACCAAAGAUGAAAACUAGCAAGUCACAGGAGACUCAGAGGAGGACAAAACAAUUGAAGAAGAAGAAAAGAAAUUAGUUCCUUAUGACCUCAAUAAGGCAGCAAAAAAAUCAUUUUGGAAUCAGAGUUUCCUUCCUAAAGAGCUUUUAGUUUCAACAAUGAAGCUAGUCCUUCUGGGCACAAUGACUAGAUGAAGCAGCACCAUCAGUUUUAGCCAAUACAAAAGAAGUUGCAAUCCCAAAUUUUCCAUUGAGGCUCUCAAUAUCUCUAUCCUCUGUUCAAGCUCUGCCACUUGAACAGAGUUUUAUAUAAUCAACAUUCAAUGAUUCUACUGUACGUUUUUCAAUUGGCUAAUUGAUGACUGUGGGUUUGUUAUUAACAAACAAAUGAAUUUGAAAUAUAAUGUAAGCAUGUGUUUGCUACUAGAUAUGCAUAGAGAAGGAGUUGCAAUCCCAAGCUUAUAUUUGAGUUCACAAAUAUCUCUGUUCUAUGUUCUCUGUUCAUGCUCUGCAAUUUGUAAGCUACAGUA